rnacentral:rRNA from 1 species
GUCUCUUUGAUUAGAUAUAAUAAAGAGUUGGGCCUGCUCGGUGAUAUUUUUAACAGCUGCGGUAUUAUAACUGUACUAAGGUAGCAUAAUAAUUUGCCUUAUAAAUUAAGGCUAGAAUGAAUGGUUUGACGAAAAUUAAUCUGUCUCUAUUAUAAUUAUUAGAAGUUAAUGUUUAUAGUGAAAAAGCUUAAAUUAUUUAAAGGGACGAGAAGACCCUAUUGAGCUUGAUAUUAAAAUAUAAAUUUUUUUUAAAGUUAAUAUAAUUAUGUUAUGGGUUUAAAUUUUGAUUGGGGUGAUCAAGGAAUAAAAAAGAUUAAUGUAUAUAUAUAUUAACUUCCUUAUAUAUAAAUAUUUAUAGAUAAAUAAACCGAGAGUUUUGCUUAAAAGUAAGUUACCAUAGGGAUAACAGCGUAAUUUUUUUAGAGAGUUCUUAUUAAAAAAAAAGAUUGCGACCUCGAUGUUGGAUUAAAAUUACCUUUGGGUGCAGAAGCUCAGAUAGGUGAAUCUGUUCGAUUUUUAAAAUUUU